rnacentral:rRNA from 1 species
GGGGAGCUUGCUCCCGCUGACGAGUGGCGGACGGGUGAGUAAUGCAUGGGAAUCCGCCCUUUAGUUGGGGAUACCGUAGGGAAACUUACGUUAAUACCGAAUAUGAUCUACGGAUUAAAGGUGGCCUCUACUUGUAAGCUAUCGCUAAAGGAUGAGCCCAUGUUAGAUUAGCUAGUUGGUGAGGUAAUGGCUCACCAAGGCAUCGAUCUAUAGCUGGUUUGAGAGGAUGAUCAGCCACACUGGGACUGAGACACGGCCCAGACUCCUACGGGAGGCAGCAGUGGGGAAUAUUGCACAAUGGAGGAAACUCUGAUGCAGCCAUGCCGCGUGUGUGAAGAAGGCCCGAGGGUUGUAAAGCACUUUUAGUGAGGAGGAAAGGCUAGUAGUUAAUACCUGCUAGCUGUGACGUUACUCACAGAAAAAGCACCGGCUAACUCUGUGCCAGCAGCCGCGGUAAUACAGAGGGUGCAAGCGUUAUUCGGAAUUACUGGGCGUAAAGCGCGCGUAGGCGGAUUGUUAAGUCAGUUGUGAAAGCCCUGGGCUCAACCUAGGAACGGCGAUUGAAACUGGCAGUCUAGAGUUUAGUAGAGGGAAGGGGAAUUUCUGGAGUAACAGUGAAAUGCGUAGAUAUCAGAAGGAACAUCAGUGGCGAAGGCGCCUUCCUGGACUAAAACUGACGCUGAGGUGCGAAAGCGUGGGGAGCAAACGGGAUUAGAUA